rnacentral:rRNA from 1 species
GAUGAACGCUGGCGGCGUGCCUAAUACAUGCAAGUCGAGCGAAUGGAUUAAGAGCUUGCUCUUAUGAAGUUAGCGGCGGACGGGUGAGUAACACGUGGGUAACCUGCCCAUAAGACUGGGAUAACUCCGGGAAACCGGGGCUAAUACCGGAUAACAUUUUGAACCGCAUGGUUCGAAAUUGAAAGGCGGCUUCCGCUGUCACUUAGGGAUGGACCCGCGUCGCAUUAGCUAGUUGGGGAGGUAACGGCUCACCAAGGCAACGAUGCGUAUCCGACCUGAGAGGGUAAUCGGCCACACUGGGACUGAGACACGGCCCAGACUCCUACGGGAGGCAGCAGUAGGGAAUCUUCCGCAAUGGACGAAAGUCUGACGGAGCAACGCCGCGUGAGUGAUGAAGGCUUUCGGGUCGUAAAACUCUGUUGUUAGGGAAGAACAAGUGCUAGUUGAAUAAGCUGGCACCUUGACGGUACCUAACCAGAAAGCCACGGCUAACUACGUGCCAGCCGCCGCGGUAA